rnacentral:lncRNA from 1 species
UGUUGUUGUGGACGAUGUUUUUGUUGAUAUUGUUGAUGUUGUUGUUGGUGGUGUUGAUAAUGUUGAGCUUCCCUGAAGGCAGGUGCUAUAUGAGCCACCUGGUGCUUGUUACUGGUAGGGCGGACAUUCUUCCUUUUCACAGAGGGUCUUUGUUUAAUAUGGGAAGACACAGCAUGCGCCCCUCCCUCUUUCUUCUUUGCAAAGCCCCCAUAUCGCUUUGCAGAAG